rnacentral:rRNA from 1 species
UGGGGAAUAUUGCACAAUGGGCGGAAGCCUGAUGCAGCGACGCCGCGUGAGCGAAGAAGUAUUUCGGUAUGUAAAGCUCUAUCAGCAGGGAAGAAAAUGACGGUACCUGACUAAGAAGCUCCGGCUAAAUACGUGCCAGCAGCCGCGGUAAUACGUAUGGAGCAAGCGUUAUCCGGAUUUACUGGGUGUAAAGGGAGCGUAGACGGACUGGCAAGUCUGGUGUGAAAGGCUGGGGCUCAACCCCGGGACUGCAUUGGAAACUGCCUGUCUUGAGUGCCGGAGAGGUAAGCGGAAUUCCUAGUGUAGCGGUGAAAUGCGUAGAUAUUAGGAGGAACACCAGUGGCGAAGGCGGCUUACUGGACGGUAACUGACGCUGAGGCUCGAAAGCGUGGGGAGCAAACAGG